UACGUAGGGUGCAAGCGUUGUCCGGAAUUAUUGGGCGUAAAGAGCUCGUAGGCGGUCUGUCACGUCGGCUGUGAAAUCCCGAGGCUCAACCUCGGGUCUGCAGUCGAUACGGGCAAACUAGAGUAUUGCAGGGGAGACUGGAAUUCCUGGUGUAGCGGUGAAAUGCGCAGAUAUCAGGAGGAACACCGGUGGCGAAGGCGGCUCUCUGGACCGAGACUGACGCUGAGGCGCGAAAGCGUGGGGAGCAAACAGG
rnacentral:rRNA from 1 species